rnacentral:misc_RNA from 1 species
CAAGGGUUCGAAUCCCUUAGCUUACA